rnacentral:sRNA from 1 species
GAAAGCCAAAACUUAUUUUUACAUGGUUGUCAGCACAUUUACCGAUAUGGACACUUUUCCCAAUAAUUUUCCUCCUGGUGGAGACAGUGGAUUGACAGCUUCUCAGUCGGAGUUCCAGAAAAUGUUAAUUGAUGAAAGGUUACGAUGUGAGCAUCAUAAAGCUAAUUAUCAGACACUGAAGGCUGAACACACAAGGUUGCAGAAUGAACAUGUAAAGUUACAAAAUGAACUCAAGCACCUGUUUAAUGAAAAGCAAACUCAGCAGGAAAAACUUCAGCUCCUACUUGAAGAACUAAGAGGAGAAUUAGUAGAGAAAACUAAAGAUUUAGAAGAAAUGAAACUGCAGAUAUUAACUCCACAAAAGUUGGAAUUGCUAAGAGCCCAAAUACAACAAGAAUUAGAAACUCCAAUGAGAGAACGUUUUAGGAAUCUAGAUGAAGUAAGUAACUUAUGUUGUUUACUAUGCAUUUAUCCUCAUGGGAUCAAAGUCUUGAUGAAAAGCAUCAUUUCCCUACCCCAAAACCCUGCAGUAGUUCCCCCUUUUACUCAGUCAUUACAGUGGCCUCUAAGGCUUCACAGGAUCGAACUCCCAUUACCUCUCUGAUCUCCUUUCCUUUUUCCACAUUGGCCU